AAAAAAGAAAAAAGAAAAAAAAGAAACAUCAUAGCCAUUGUACAUUAAGCAGAAUGACCAUGGUGGGCACUAGUGUGAUAUGCAAUGAGAGAAAUCACAGAGGUCAGAUGAUGCAGAGCUUUGAAGGCCAUUGCGAGAACAUUCUAAACAAGAUGGGAAGCUGACACAGGGUUGAUAGCAGAGGAGUAAUAAACCACAAUACGUUUUUACAUUUUAAAGGGUGCCUUCUGUGCUGUGUUGAGGACAGACUGUAGUGUGGAGAGUGCUGCAGCAGAGAGAGAACUCUUGGGAGGCUCUUACAAUCAUUUAAGCUAGAGACAAUAGACUAAGAGGGUCAGUAUUCCACAACGCACCUUCUGGAGCACACAGGUGCCUUGCCACACCAGUCGGGAACUUCUGCUCUGCAAAGUCCAAAGACUAAGCUAAAGUUUAGCCAUUCUCCACUAAGUCCUCCAUGGCCACCACGCAGCCACACCUUCAGACACCAAGACAAGUCCUCCUUCUCCGUGUCCCACAGUGCCUUGUCUCCUGAGAUGACAAGCUCCUUGGCACCAGAGAUGGUAUCUUUCUCAUCUUUGCCUCCUCGGAGAUACAGUACACUAUACACUGUACAGUGCAUAGUACACAGGAGAAGAGGCACAAGAAUGUGGAAUAUGUGACCCAUGUACAUGAAGAUAUUCCUGGUUCACUCAAAAGUACGAUUUUGAGAAGCCCACCUAGAGUCAGAAGGCCCUUGAAAGAUGCAGACCCUCAACUUUGGACUUCCCAGCCUCUAGAACUGUAAGAAAUAAAUCUCUGUUCUUUGCAAAUUACUUGAUCUCAGGUAUUCUGUUAAGAUAGGUGGUAUUGUCCAGCAUCUCCUUAAUAUGCAACCCAUGGGCUUCCUCACACUGUUGGGUCUCUGGGGCAGAAUCCUCAAUGAGCCAUUUGGAUUAAAAAGCCCUGGAGUAUAGCCUGGCUUGCGAUCUGAUAAUGUAGAUAAUUUCUCAUGGAAAUUUUGGUAGAGACUAAAUCCCCAGAAGUGCUUAAGUUGAGAAAGAAGGUGUUUGAUAUCCAAGGUGCAUUUAAACAAAAGACCCAAGCCUAAUGUGGAAGGUGUUCUUUCCCUCAUUGGAGUCCAGGGGACACCCUGCAGACAUAAUGUAAUUACACAGACAUGCAUCCUUUACCAUGUUGCAGACCCACCUCUGAUAUUGGUAAAGCAAUAAUGCUGAUAUCAGGAAGAGCAGUAAGGCUUUCUCAGCUGAUACAGCAAUUUAAGGUUUGCACUCCAUAUCUGACACUGCCAUAAGUACUAGAAAUACAAAGAUGAGUACAAUAGUUUUGUGUUCCAGGAGGUCAUAUCUCCUGGGGGAGAUAAACAUAGAAUACAAUAUAGGAUGUAUUGGAUAAAAAGUAAAAGAAUAAUGAUUGAAGUAAAUAAGAAUAAAGUGCAGCAGUGAUCAUGGAUGGGUACAGAGGGGAUCAGGAAAAAAAUUAUAAAGGAAGACAUGCUUGAUGUAGAUCUUGAAAGAUGAGUAGAGAUUUUUCCAAACACCUGAAAAAGAAGAGCCACAAGGAAACACAGCAUGUUUGGAAAAGUCUGAGGAAUUCUGUGUUGCUGGAGCAUAAGCUUAAUAGUCCAAGAAGCGAGAAGGAGAGGCCCUCUGGGGAUAAGGGGAAGCAACCAGAAUUGGAAAGCCUGGCAGGCUGUGCCAAGGCAUUUGUACUUUAUCUUACAUGUGAUGGAGAGCCAUUCAAGCCUUUUGAGCAGGGGGAAAAGAUUAUUAUAUUUGCAUUUUAAAAGUUGAUGGUGGUGUGGUGUGUGAAAAAUGAAGUGGAAACAAGCAAAACUAGCAUCAGGGAGGCCAACUGGGAAACUAAACACAGUGACCCAUUUCAGUGAUAAGGAGGCCUGUUUGUGGGGUGGAACUGAGAAGAUAAAUUAUGAAAGACCUCAAGGAAGCAUAUCAUCAAUUUUCAGGAUAUGAGAGACCACUGCAACAAAUAAUACUUUGAAUGGAAUGCACGAGUGUAGUCGGGGGGAGGGAGUUGGAAGCCAGUGGACAGAGGAAGAACUACAAAGUUAACUCAGGAAAUUUGAUUCGGCUUUCACACUUUCCACUCUGUCCACAGCUGCUCCUCUGCUUCCCUUCCCUCCCAGCUGCUCUGCCAAGGUAUCAGUCCUCAUUAUCUACUGCCUCCCUGAAGCAUCUGACACCAUGAAAAUCUCCCUGCUGGAAAUAUUUUCUCUCCUUAGCAGCCAUGACACCACACUCUAUUGGUUUCUUUCCCUUUUAUUUGGGUGCUGCUUAUGAUUUUUUAUUAGCUCAUUUUUCUCUGCCUAGUUCCUUCAGAUUUAUCCUAGACCUCUUUCUCUACUUACAUAUUUACCAUGCAAUCCCAUUCAUUUCCAUGUCUCUAAUAUCCAUGUUCAUGCCAGGGACCUCAAAAUAUGUAUUCCCAGGAAAGAUCUGUCUUCAGAAUCUUAUUUCUAUAUGUGAGACUACCUACUUGAUCUUCUCUUUUGAUAUCCCAUAGGUACCUCAACUAAACAUAGCAAAAACCUCAAAAUGAUUAUCACCACCUCUGUCUAGCUCACACUUGUUCCUUUCCCUCUCUUUCUCAUGGGUGUAAGACACAUUCUUUACCACAUAUCUGGAAACCAUCCUUGACUCAUCGUUGUGCCUUAGCAACCACAUCUGAUCAAUCACAAAGUCCUCUUCAUUCUACUUAUGAAUUGCCUCCAAAAUCCAUCUAUUUUCUCUCCAUUCUUACUGCUGCUAUUACAGGACAGGUCAUUGCUGUCUAAAAUCCUAUAUGACUGCACCUGAUCUCUUUGACUACCAUCCUGUGAUAGAUUACCUAUAGACUCUCUUACAUGCUGGUUCUUCUUCCUGAAACGUUAUUAUUACACCUUCUCCCACCAACUUUGAUAUUUCCAACUACUAUUCAUUCCCCUAGUUUUAGCUCAUUCAUUACUUUUUGCUAGGAACCUUUCUCGACCCUCUCCUCCCUACUUAGUUGUCACUCAAAUGAGUUCCCACAAUACUCUGUUUAAAAAGUUUUACUCUCUUGCUAUGCUUACAUCAUAAAGAUGGCCUAUCUCAUUCCUUGCUGUAUCGCCAGUGCCUAACACAGUGACUCCAUGCUUAAUAAAUAUUUAUGGAAUGAACACAUAAAUAUAUUCAAGUAAUUUUAUUGAAAUAUAACAUGCAUAAAGAAAAGAGCAUAGAGAAGCACACGUCCCAACAAAUGAAAUAUCACAAAGUAAACUCAUGGGUGUAAACCAAUUCAAAGAUAGAACACCCCAGAAGCCCUUCGUAUAACCAACCCCAAUUAUUAACCGCCUCCUCUUUUCCAAAGGUCAUUUUUACUCUGUCUAUCAUAAUAGCUGAGUUUUGCCUGUCUUUGAAAUCAAUAUAAAUAUAAAUAUACUCUUUUGCAUAUGGUCUUCUCACUAAAUGUUUGUGAGAUUGAUCCAUGUUAUUGCAUAUAACAGUUCUUUCAUUUUCAUUGCUAUCUUGGUUUAUCACUGCAUGAAUAUGCCAUAAUUUACCAAAAUUUGUUCAUUCCACUUUUAAAUAUCAAUAAAGUUGUUUUCGAUGUGAGACUAUUAUAUAUAAUAUUGCUAUGAACAUUUAUUUAUAUGCUGUUUAUA
rnacentral:lncRNA from 1 species